rnacentral:rRNA from 1 species
CCUACGUGCGGCAGCAGUAGGGAAUUUUCGGCAAUGGGGGGAACCCUGACCGAGCAACGCCGCGUGAACGAAGAAGUUAUUCGUAAUGUAAAGUUCUUUUAACAGGGAAGAAAGAGAAAUUUGACGGUACCUGAAGAAUAAGCUCCGGCAAACUACGUGCCAGCAGCCGCGGAAAUACGUAGGGAGCGAGCGUUAUCCGGAUUUAUUGGGCGAAAAGGGUGCGUAGAUGGCAUAGUAAGUCUUUGGUAAAAAUGCUGGGCUCAACCCAGUAGGGCAAAAGAUACUGCAAAGCUGGAGUAUGACAGAGGCAAGUGGAACUACAUGUGUAGCGGUAAAAUGCGUAAAUAUAUGUAGGAACACCAGUGGCGAAGGCGGCUUACUGGGUCGAUACUGACAUUGAGGCACGAAAGCGUGGGGAGCAAACAGGAUUAGAUACCCGAGUAGUC